rnacentral:rRNA from 1 species
GGAAAAAUUGAUAAGGGCAAUGAGUGAAUGCCUUGGUGAUAUCAGGCGAAGAAGGACGUGGUAAGCUGCGAUAAGCUUCGGGGAGCGGCAAAUACGCUUUGAUCCGGAGAUUUCCGAAUGGGGAAACCCAACCAACUGGUUAAUACACGCUGAAUAUAUAGGUGUGUAUGGCUAACCUGCUGAACUGAAACAUCUAAGUAAGCAGAGGAAAAGAAAGCGAAUGCGAUUCCCAGAGUAGUGGCGAGCGAAACGGGAACAGCCUAAACCGUGUGGAUUUAUCUAUGCGGGGUCGUAGGAGCCCAUCGUCGUAUUGUCAAAAAUAGAAGAAUCCUUUGGAAAGAGGAGCCAUAGAGGGUGAUAGCCCCGUAGUCGAAAUUUGAGACAAGCGUAGGGAAUUCCUGAGUAGCACGGGACACGUGAAAUCCUGUGUGAAUUAACGCGGACCACCGCGUAAGGCUAAAUACUCGAUAUCGACCGAUAGUGAACUAGUACCGCGAGGGAAAGGUGAAAAGAACUCCGUCUAGGAGAGUGAAAUAGUACCUGAAACUUAUUGCCUACAAGCGGUCGGAGCACGUUUUUGUGUGACGGCGUACCUUUUGCAUAAUGGGUCUGGGAGUUGUUGUUUGUAGCAAGCUUAAGGCUUUUUCAAGCCGGAGGCGUAGCGAAAGCAAGUCUGAAUAGGGCGAUUAGUUGCAGGCAACAGACCCGAAACGGGAUGAUCUAUCCAUGGUCAGGUUGAAAGUAGAGUGAAAUCUAGUGGAGGACCGAACCGGUGAACCUUGAGAAGUUCUCGGAUGAACUGUGGAUAGGGGUGAAAGGCUAAUCAAAUUCCGUUAUAGCUGGUUCUCUUCGAAAUAUAUUUAGGUAUAGCCUCAUGCGCUGAUUACCGGGGGUAGAGCACUGAAAAAGCUAGGGCCCAUACUAGGGUACCAAACUUUAUCAAACUCCGAAUACCGGUGAGUGUAGCAUGGGAGUCAGUCUGCGGGGGAUAAGCUCCAUAGACGAGAGGGAAAGAGCCCAGACCGUCGAUUAAGGCCCCUAAAUCAUCACUAAGUGGAUUAAAGGAGGUGAGUCUGCAUAGACAAUAGGGAUGUUGGCUUAGAAGCAGCCAUCAUUUAAAUAGUGCGUAAUAGCUAACCUAUCGAGUGGAUUUGCGCCGAAGAUGAUCGGGACUAAAGUGAUGUGCCGAAAUCGCGGACUCGUAAAAUAUUAUGAGUGGUAGAAGAGCGUUCCAACCGGGCAGAAGCCAAAGCGGCAAGCGAUGGUGGACUUGUUGGAAGUGAGUAUCCAGACAUGAGUAACGAUAAAUACGGUGAGAAUCCGUAUCGCCGAAAGGAUAAGGUUUCCUGGGGAAGGGUCGUCCUCCCAGGGUUAGUCGAGAGCUAAGAUGAGGCCAAUUGGAGUAAUCGAUGCACGACAGGUCAAUAUUCCUGUACCAUUUUGUGAGCGUUAUAACUAGAGGAGUGACGGAGAAGGCUAAAUCAGCACAGUGUUGAUUUUGUGUCUAAGUGUUCGAGGCUGUUUGGUAGGAAAAUCCGCCAAACAUUAAGGCUGAGGCAUUAUGGGACUUUUUGGUUUCGACCAAAAGGGAUUCGAUUGAUGUCAUGCUUCCAAGAAAAGCUUCGCUAGGAGUUCACAGAAUGCUCGUACCGCAAACCGACACAGGUAUCCGAGAUGAGUAUUCUAAGGCGCGUGAGUUAAGUCUCUCUAAGGAACUAGGCAAACUGGCCCCGUAUCUUUGGUAGAAGGGGUGCCUGGCAACAGGCCGCAGUGAAAUGGCCCAACCGACUGUUUAGCAAAAACACAGCUCUCUGCUAAGUCGCAAGACGAUGUAUAGGGAGUGACACGUGACCAAUGCGGAAAGGUGAACGCUGGAGGUGCAAGCUUCUGGUCUAAGCCCCCGUGAAUGUCGGCCGUAACUAUAACGGUCCUAAGGUAGCGAAAUUCCUUGUCGGGUAAGUUCCGACCUGCACGAAUCGUGUAACGAGU